AGAGUUCGAUGCAAAUGUAAACACCAGCAAGAGCGUUAGCAUAGCUCCACCUGUUAAGCAUGCUGAGAGAGAGAGAGAGAGAGAGAGAGAGAGAGAGAAGCACGUUUAAAACAAGGUUAAAAGAUGGAUUUAUUAGAAAAUAAACCUUGCUAAGGAGUGAUAUAUUGGUUUUAUAACCUGCAGUCUCCCACCAGGACUUGGUGAGGUCCUCUAAAAGGAGGAUUUGGGCAAGAGGAGAACCACGUGAAGAAAAGCCUGCCGCUGCGUGUCACGUCCGCUUCCCGGCACCACACACUGCGCCGGUUACUGGGCUGCACCGGGACCCGGAUCAGACCGCCAAUCAUAAUACUAUUCUAGGAGCAGAGAGAGCGAGAGGAAAAAAACACGGAGCAAAGACCCCACCGGCCUGCCCUCCUCGCUGCCUGUAACUCUACCACUUAUUUUCGUUUGCGCCGAAGGAGCCGAUGACCUUGGAGAACUCUGUAAAGGCUGCCAGUAAAACACUGAAGGAUUACCGGUAUGUAACUGCACAUUCAUGUGGUU
rnacentral:lncRNA from 1 species